rnacentral:misc_RNA from 1 species
GCUGAAACUGUCCAGGUCGGCGUCUAAUUGAAAAAAUGGUAAUUGGAGGCUAGAAAGAUUUUACUGUCCAAAAUUUGAAAUUUGAUGGGGUUUUAUGUUACUUUUUUAAGUUGAGGGACUAUAAUGCUAUGCUAGAUAAGUUCAGGGACGAUUGUCAAAAUUUAUCCGCUUUCAGGUAUAUGUGCUCUCUUCAAGUUUAAAAGGUUUUUCUUUCUUUUUGGCUUUCCUUUUCUUAUCUAUCUUGAAUGCGGAAAAAUGAUCUAUAUAGUUAACCUCAACUAGUUUGGGAUUGAGGUUUAGUCGUUGUUGUUAUUAUAUGUUGUUUUCUUAUAUGUAUUAAUCUUGUUUUUCUUUAAGAGUUGGUUGUGUACUCAUAGUUCUAAGUUUGGGAUUGCAGCUAUUGAAGAAGCAUGGGUGG